GAUGAACGCUGGCGGCGUGCCUAAUACAUGCAAGUCGAGCGAACGGACGAGAAGCUUGCUUCUCUGAUGUUAGCGGCGGAAGGGUGAGUAACACGUGGAUAACCUACCUAUAAGACUGGGAUAACUUCGGGAAACCGGAGCUAAUACCGGAUAAUAUUUUGAACCGAAUGGUUCAAAAGUGAAAGACGGUCUUGCUGUCACUUAUAGAUGGAUCCGCGCUGCAUUAGCUAGUUGCUAAGGUAACGGCUUACCAAGGCAACGAUGCAUAGCCGACCUGAGAGGGUGAUCGCACACACUGGAACUGAGACACAGUCCAGACUCCAACGGGAAGCAGCAGUAGGGAAUCUUCCGCGAUGGGCGAAAGCCUGACGGAACAACGCCGCGUGAGUGAUGAAGGUCUUCGGAUCGUAAAACUCUGUUAUUAGGUAAGAACAUAUGUGUAAGUAACUGUGCACAUCUUGACGGUACCUAAUCAGAAAGCCACGGCUAACUACGUG
rnacentral:rRNA from 1 species